rnacentral:rRNA from 1 species
CCUACGGGCGGCUGCAGUGGGGAAUAUUGGACAAUGGGCGAAAGCCUGAUCCAGCCAUGCCGCGUGUGUGAAGAAGGCCUUCGGGUUGUAAAGCACUUUCAGUGGGGAAGAAAGCCUUGGGGCUAAUACCCUCGAGGAAGGACAUCACCCACAGAAGAAGCACCGGCUAACUCUGUGCCAGCAGCCGCGGUAAUACGGAGGGUGCGAGCGUUAAUCGGAAUUACUGGGCGUAAAGCGCGCGUAGGCGGUCUGAUAAGCCGGUUGUGAAAGCCCCGGGCUCAACCUGGGAACGGCAUCCGGAACUGUCAGGCUAGAGUGCAGGAGAGGAAGGUAGAAUUCCCGGUGUAGCGGUGAAAUGCGUAGAGAUCGGGAGGAAUACCAGUGGCGAAGGCGGCCUUCUGGACUGACACUGACGCUGAGGUGCGAAAGCGUGGGUAGCAAACAGGAUUAGAUACCCGGGUAGUC